UACGUAGGGGUCGAGCGUUGUCCGGAGUUACUGGGCGUAAAGCGCGUGCAGGUGGCUCAUUACGCCCGGCGUGAAAGCCCCCGGCUCAACCGGGGAGGGUCGUCGGGGACGGGUGAGCUUGAGGGUAGCAGGGGCUGGUAGAAUUCCCGGUGUAGUGGUGAAAUGCGUAGAGAUCGGGAGGAAUACCCGUGGCGAAGGCGGCCAGCUGGGCUACACCUGACACUGAGACGCGAAGGCGUGGGGGAGCGAACGGGG
rnacentral:rRNA from 1 species